GAUGCGACCUCAGCUCAGGCGGGGCUACCCGCUGAGUUUAAGCAUAUCAAUAAGGCGGAGGAAAAGAAC
rnacentral:rRNA from 1 species